AUUCUUAAAAGAUAUAAUACGCAUUUUCAAAAAAAAAAUUGUUUUAUGUUUGAUAAGAGGGUAAAUUAUGUAACAUACCGAGGAGAGACACGAUUAAGCAAGUGGCUGGCCUCAUCCAUGCAGGAGUAAUUAUGCUGAUGAGAUUGGGCCGAGGGAGUGGGUGAGGACAUGGCUGCUGCCUGGCUCACCCACCAACCCACUAGACUCUCGGACCUAAUUAUUGGCGUGUUAGUUACAUACAUUUAUUUAUGUGUAUUUUUUGUAUGUCAUGUAAAUUACAAGAUAUUAACACAUGUGCAUAAGAAUAACUGUUGAAGUGUACAGAAAGAAUUAAUGUAUUAAGUUUCAAAAAAUAUUAAUAUAAAUUUGUUUUCACUAAUAAAAGAAGCCAUUAAACUAUGGUAAUGUAUUUCAUUAUUAACUAUCAGCACAAAUACAAUCGUUUUAACAUAACUUAAUUUUCUAAUCUUUAAAAUAAUUAUGGAAUAAAUAGAAAAUAUAUAUAAGGAAACAUUUAAACUUGAAAAACUCUGUUCAUUAAAAUACAUAUAAAUUAAAGUGAAAUCAAAGGGGAAGGAACAAAUCAACUAAUCGCAUUCGAAGAACGUUUAAAAAACUUUAUGAAGAAUUGGUAUUUAUAA